rnacentral:rRNA from 1 species
UGGGGAAUAUUGGACAAUGGGCGCAAGCCUGAUCCAGCAAUGCCGCGUGAAUGAAGAAGGCCUUAGGGUCGUAAAAUUCUUUUAGUUGGGAAGAUAAUGACUGUACCAACAGAAAAAGCUCCGGCUAACUUCGUGCCAGCAGCCGCGGUAAUACGAAGGGAGCUAGCGUUAUUCGGAAUCACUGGGCGUAAAGAGCACGUAGGCGGUUUAGUAAGUUGGAAGUGAAAGCCCAGGGCUUAACCUUGGAAAUGCUUUCAAAACUACUAGACUAGAGAUCAAGAGGGGAUGGCGGAAUUCCUAGUGUAGAGGUGAAAUUCUUAGAUAUUAGGAGGAACACCGGUGGCGAAGGCGGCCAUCUGGAUUGAAUCUGACGCUGAGGUGCGAAAGUGUGGGUAGCAAACAGG